rnacentral:rRNA from 1 species
AGUGAACGCUGGCGGUAGGCCUAACACAUGCAAGUCGAACGGCCGCACAGUAAGAGCUCUCUCUUAAGGGUGGCGAGUGGCGGACGGGUGAGGAAUACAUAGGAAUCUAAUAUUUCGGGGGUGAUAACGUAGGGACACUUAUGCUAAUACAGCAUAUGAUGAACGGGAGAAAGCAGGGGAUAAUGGGAGCUUGCCUGUCUGAUAUAGCCGAUGUCGGAUUAGCUAGUUGGCGGGGUAAAGGCCCACCAAGGCGACGAUCCGUAGCUGGGCUGAGAGGAUGAUCAGCCACACUGGAACUGAGACACGGUCCAGACUCCUACGGGAGGCAGCAGUAGGGAAUAUUGGACAAUGGGCGCAAGCCUGAUCCAGCCAUACCGCGUGGGUGAAGAAGGCCUUCGGGUUGUAAAGCCCUUUUAUUGGGAAAGAAAAGCAGCAUGUUAAUACCCCGCUGUUCUGACGGUACCCAAAGAAUAAGCACCGGCUAACUUCGUG